GAUCCUGGCUCAGAUUGAACGCUGGCGGCAGGCUUAACACAUGCAAGUCGAGCGGGGAAGGGUAGCUUGCUACCUGACCUAGCGGCGGACGGGUGAGUAAUGCUUAGGAAUCUGCCUAUUAGUGGGGGGACAACAUUCCGAAAGGAAUGCUAAUACCGCAUACGCCCUACGGGGGAAAGGCAGGGGAUCUUCGGACCUUGCGCUAAUAGAUGAGCCUAAGUCAGAUUAGCUAGUUGGUGGGGUAAAGGCCU
rnacentral:rRNA from 1 species